UACAGACCGGCUUUGUUGUUGCGAUGGUUCCCUAGGUGCGGCCGGCCCUGUCGUUGCUGCUUGGGCUACUAGAAUCGUCCAAAACCCCGACGGCGGCCAGGCGAUGCGAAACCGCGUGGUGGCCGCAUGUAGCGUGGUAGGCAGGGUGCCCGACGUCGUGGCGGCGGCCGCGGCCGGCAGAAGCCCCGGUGGUUAGUUGGUGGCGGGCGUCGAGGACGAGCGGCGUUGUUUAUGUUCGCGUUCCCCCCUGCGGUACUACCACGAUGGCGGCCACGAAGGCCACGGCAGGGAGGCCGACGCGCUGGAGGCGGCAACAAGGGCGGUGGUGGCCAAUAGCCGCGGCGGGGACGUUGCGACUGAGUACUCCGAUGGUUGAAACGAGGCCACCAACGCCGGAGCUGCUUGCGGCGACCUGUCCCGGGUUUUCCUUUCUUUUGUACGGAAACCACGAAGUUUACAGCAAGUCUACUAGUAGAGAGGUUCUUGACGUACGUUGGUUCCGGGUAACGCAGCGAGCCACCUACGCCAGACCAUUUGCGAUACAAGCACGUUGAUGGACUGAGCGAGAAGUUCCUUGUAGAUCGUGGUGGUUGUGACGGCUGACGAGACCAGUGCUAGAGGCCACCAAGAAACACGCGACGACUCCACCUACAUCUCCAGCAAUUCUCGCGGAACCAGGUCAGUAGAACCUUAACCCUUCGGCACGGCGUACCUCUAUUACGAAAGGAUCAACGUAAGUCACUUACCUAUCGACUCCUCCAGUGUAGGCAAGAAGGAAACGUCGAGAUACCCAAGUGCAGUGACCGCAAGGUGGUGGAGAGGUGGUAAAGGAGCCUCCUCGUGAUGCAGGGCCUACAACUGAAAUAGGGUGCAUAAACCCUUUUGGUACUACUACCGGUACUCCUGCCGCGAUUGGUCCUACUCCUAUACGGACUGUCUCUACGAUCGUUUUCCAGAUUUUUGCAGGUUCGACAACCACUUUUAUGCUGCAGCCUACGAGUUUGAUCAAACUGACAAGGGUACUUCAUACAUGUCUCUAGUCAUGUCCGUCGCCUAGACCCGAUAAGCCGGCCGGCUGGUCUGCACUUACACCGUCGUUGCCCAAACGGGCACCGGCGGCGACGAGUGCACUUACUUCACCUGGUUCGCGCCAGGUGCCGACGCACACGGUAUGUACGUCGCCGGCACCUCCCGGCCGGAUACCGAGAGCCGACGUACGCGGUACGUGGUGAGUGUCUCUGACCGGAUCGGUUGGUAUGUUCGUACCGCGAGUUCCUCUGUCUACAACGACGGGGCUACGUCGUACGUCGACGUCGCGUACGAGGACGGUCCCUAAGUUGCGGCUAUCUCGGCCAGCACCCAGGACAGCGCGGUGGUCAGCACAGUGGUCGAGCACGCCAACAGCGGUGCCAAGGUGACCCGAGUUGUGGAACAAGUAAGAGCGACUGGCUACCCUGACAUGCCUGUGGAAGCGGUAGCAAUUUCAGACGCGGUUGCCGAUGAGACAGCUGCGACUACCCAUGAUACAAACCUCCGGACUGGUGUGGGGAAGCGGCAUCAUUGACAGUAAGGGAACGACGACUACCAAGGAGACGCUGACUGCUCGUGAGGGAACUCUUCCGCUACGCAGCAGUCCGGAACUCCUUAAACCUGGGGUGCGGUCCAUGGAGUAGACGAGUUAGAAAAGAAAAGAAAGGUCUAUGAGCAUAAUGAUCAUCGAAUUUCUUACGACCGCAUAGAUACCCUUUCUUGCUAUUACCUUAGUUAGACAGCCAACCCCGUGAAUUUGUGAACCUCUAACUGACAAAUUUCCAAAGAGGCUUCACAUUAUUGCGGGGUGGUUUGGGGCUUUGUCUCCUGUUACUACUUCGCCUACGGUUUAUACUACCACGCGAUUAGAGGGUGAACCAACGGGGAUUAGAGAGGGGAUUAAAGAGGGGCAAGCUUGGCGUUGUGUGGCCGGACUAGAGGAGGUGCAGCGGGUCUAGGGAAGAGGGGGGCGGAGCGUGUGUCGAGGCAGGGCGAGAGGAGCGGCAGCUCGUGGUGCCGGCGAGGUGGAAAUUCGAGGCGGGACGGAGAGGUUUGGAGUCCCAGAAGAGGUGACUAGCUCGGGGGUAGGAGUAGAUGCUAAGUACGAAAAAAGUACAGUUUAGCCCACACGGUCGCCGACUUAGCCGAUGGUUUCAUCGUGGCGGGCCGGCCUCUUCGACGUUAUCUGACGUUUUAUGCCGGCGGUGGUGGGGUUAAUGUUCGCGGGGUAUAACUUUAGCUGCAUAACGUCGCGUAGAUGGUGGCGUCUAAACUAAUAGGUUGUCGGCUCAUGAAUAACGAAUUAUGAAGAUCUUGUUGCCUUCGUACAGACUUGGUUUAUAUACGUAGUUCCCAACAAACAUUCUCAAUGACAAUUUUCCGAACGAAGGCACGUUUGGCAGAGAAUAUAUCUCCACUAUCUUGGUAGACAUUCAAUACGAGAGCCGUGACGGGAACUACUGCUUCAUCAGCAUCGGAGUUCGACACGCACGCUAUAAAUACGACCACACCUUCUGUAUUCCCUCGGGCACCGGUACUGUACGGAUCGCUCCUCUAGUUCCCACCUAUUCUAAUCUCCGGCCACUACUAUAACAGACACGAUCGUAGACAGAGCUCACCUUCGUAAAAAAAUAAAGAACCUACGUUUAAGUUAAAAGAAGCUUCGUCUAAGAUUAUAGAGAUCAUCGUUACAGUCUAACUACCUUUCUUUAUAUAAAAAAUACAACUCUCGUUAAGGAACUUUGUUAACAACCAGUAACAUAACAGAUACGCAUCGUUUGUUUUACGUGACUAUACAAUAUGC
rnacentral:rRNA from 1 species